UCGUAUUGAGUGACGCUUGCGCGCGAAGUAAGCCAGGAUCCCCGUUGAGAGUAACCCACUUGUCUUCCACUUGAAACCUCAGCAAGUGCAACCCCCAAUUGAUUCUGGUUUCCCCUAACUUCUCCAACCACGUAUACCCGAGCACCAAAUCUGUACCUCCCAUCUCAAACCUCAAAUACUCUUCACUGAUCUCCACUCCUUGAAUAUUAGCUUUACUCCUUCACACUUACCGUUUCCUGCUAGCACCCUUCCA
rnacentral:lncRNA from 1 species